UUGGGCCUACGGGACGCAGCAGUAGGGAAUCUUCCACAAUGGGCGAAAGCCUGAUGGAGCAACGCCGCGUGGGUGAAGAAGGUCUUCGGAUCGUAAAACCCUGUUGUUAGAGAAGAAAGUGCGUGAGAGUAACUGUUCACGUUUCGACGGUAUCUAACCAGAAAGCCACGGCUAACUACGUGCCAGCAGCCGCGGUAAUACGUAGGUGGCAAGCGUUAUCCGGUUUUAUUGGGCGUAAAGGGAACGCAGGCGGUCUUUUAAGCCUGAUGUGAAACCCUGCGGCUUAACCGGAGUAGUGCAUUGGA
rnacentral:rRNA from 1 species